UACAUGGGGUGCAAGCGUUGCUCGGAAUUAUUGGGCGUAAAGCGCACGUAGGCGGCCAUUCCAGGUCGGAUGUGAAAGCCCUUGGCUCAACCGAGGAAGUGCACCCGAAACUGGAUGGCUAGAGUACGAAAGAGGGUCGCGGAAUUCCCGGAGUAGAGGUGAAAUUCGUAGAUAUCGGGAGGAACACCGGUGGCGAAGGCGGCGACCUGGGUCGAUACUGACGCUGAGGUGCGAAAGCGUGGGGAGCAAACAGG
rnacentral:rRNA from 1 species